UCUCCGUUGGUGAACCAGCGGAGGGAUCAUUACCGAGUUUACAACUCCCAAACCCCUGUGAACAUACCAUUUGUUGCCUCGGCGGUGCCUGCUUCGGCAGCCCGCCAGAGGACCCAAACCCUUGAUUUUAUACAGUAUCUUCUGAGUAAAUGAUUAAAUAAAUCAAAACUUUCAACAACGGAUCUCUUGAUUCUG
rnacentral:misc_RNA from 1 species